rnacentral:snRNA from 1 species
AGCUUUGUGCAGUGGCAGUAUCGUAGCCAAUGAGGAUUAUCCGAGGCACGAUUACUACUAAUUGAACACUUUUCCCAAUAAAGAUGACUUGAAAUACAGUCAGUCUCUCUGAAGAGA